rnacentral:rRNA from 1 species
AGUGAACGCUGGCGGUAGGCCUAACACAUGCAAGUCGAACGGCAGCACAGUAAGAGCUUGCUCUUACGGGUGGCGAGUGGCGGACGGGUGAGGAAUACAUCGGAAUCUACUUUUUCGUGGGGGAUAACGUAGGGAAACUUACGCUAAUACCGCAUACGACCUACGGGUGAAAGCAGGGGAUCUUCGGACCUUGCGCGAUUGAAUGAGCCGAUGUCGGAUUAGCUAGUUGGCGGGGUAAAGGCCCACCAAGGCGACGAUCCGUAGCUGGUCUGAGAGGAUGAUCAGCCACACUGGAACUGAGACACGGUCCAGACUCCUACGGGAGGCAGCAGGGGGGAAUAUUGGACAAUGGGCGCAAGCCUGAUCCAGCCAUACCGCGUGGGUGAAGAAGGCCUUCGGGUUGUAAAGCCCUUUUGUUGGGAAAGAAAAGCAGCAGGUUAAUACCCCGCUGUUCUGACGGUACCCAAAGAAUAAGCAACGGCUAACUUCGUG